CCCCCCCCCCCGGGCCUGGCUGUGAGUAAAAGCCCCUGAAAAUCGCUUUGGAACAGCGUCUGUGUAUGCGAUACAGCUCUCUGUGUCAUUGGGAAUAAUAACCUGUGUAGACUCUGCUGAUAUUACACUGUGUGUAUGUUGUGCAGAAUCAAAUUACACAGCAGAAAAACCCUCCGUAGAAUAGCAGCCCCCAUGUCUGGAUCAAACAUUCCCUUUUUCUUCUGUGAGGAAGAGGAAUAGCAAUGAGUCGAGUGAGGAAAUGAAUUCUUUCAUAGCCAUGGGACUCAUCUGAACAGAAAGAGCGAGGGCGUUAACCCUGCAUGUGCCGGAGUGGUGGGAGGAGGAAGCUGAGCCCUGGGGACUGGACGCAGGAGCCAAUGAGCGGCAGCACUGGAGUGCCAUCCCUUUAACAGCAGGAAGAAGCAGGCAGAGGAGCCGGCAGCAUGGAGGCUUUUUGCAGCAUAGGAGGCUCCGACGUCU